rnacentral:rRNA from 1 species
AUUGAACUCUGGCGGCAGGCCUAACACAUGCAAGUCGAACGCGUGGCGGACGGGUGAGUAAUUUCUGGGCAACUGCCUGAUGGAGGGGGACAACUACUGGAAACGGUAGCUAAUACCGCAUACCAUCAGAUGUGCCCAGAUGGGAUUAGCUAGUUGGGGGGGUAACGGCUCACCAAGGCGACGAUCCCUAGCUGGGCUGAGAGGAUGACCAGCCACAGUGGAACUGGGACACGGCCCGGACUCCAGCGGUAGGAAGCAGUGGGGAGUAUUGCACAGUGGGCGGGAGCCAGAUGCGGCCAUGGCGCGUGUGUGAAGAGGGCAGUCGGGUUGUAAAGUACUUUCAGCGGGGAGGCGUGACCCGCAGUAGAAGGACCGGCUAACGCCGUGCCAGCAGCCGCGGUAAUUC